rnacentral:rRNA from 1 species
CAUGCAAGUCGAACGGCAGCACGGGGGCAACCCUGGUGGCGAGUGGCGAACGGGUGAGUAACAUAUCGGAACGUGCCCUGGAGUGGGGGAUAACUAGUCGAAAGAUUAGCUAAUACCGCAUACGAUCUACGGAUGAAAGUGGGGGAUCGCAAGACCUCAUGCUCGUGGAGCGGCCGAUAUCUGAUUAGCUAGUUGGUGGGGUAAAGGCCUACCAAGGCAUCGAUCAGUAGCUGGUCUGAGAGGACGACCAGCCACACUGGGACUGAGACACGGCCCAGACUCCUACGGGAGGCAGCAGUGGGGAAUUUUGGACAAUGGGCGCAAGCCUGAUCCAGCAAUGCCGCGUGAGUGAAGAAGGCCUUCGGGUUGUAAAGCUCUUUUGUCAGGGAAGAAACGGUUCGGGUUAAUACCUUGGGCUAAUGACGGUACCUGAAGAAUAAGCACCGGCUAACUACGUGCCAGCAGCCGCGGUAAUACGUAGGGUGCAAGCGUUAAUCGGAAUUACUGGGCGUAAAGCGUGCGCAGGCGGUUGUGCAAGACAGAUGUGAAAUCCCCGGGCUCAACCUGGGAAUUGCAUUUGUGACUGUACGGCUAGAGUGUGUCAGAGGGGGGUAGAAUUCCACGUGUAGCAGUGAAAUGCGUAGAGAUGUGGAGGAAUACCGAUGGC